CCCAGCGUCCUUACCGGCCUUGCUGCAGUCCACGGUGAAGUGGUUCUUGUGGCCCAGGCGGGCGGCUGCCAGCCCUGGCCCCCGGGCCACGACUUGCCCAGCAUCCGACGGGGCCUUGGUGACCCCCAAAGGCAGGGGGGCCCCGCGAGCCCGCCCUCACCACUGGCUCCACCAGCACUGUCGAGGUCUCGUGCAGACUGUGCCCGCCCGACAGCCGUGGGCCUGGGAGUACCGGGGGUCUCGGUCAGCCCCCACCGUGGGACACCCCCUCACACUGUGCAGGGGGACAUCUUCCAGGGACAACCCCCCUUCCCCUGGGACCCCAUCAUGUCAUCCUGGGGCUCCUACACCACGUCACCCCCAGGACCCCCCACUCAUGUAACCCUGGUCCUGCAGGUGGCCUUCCUGCAAACCUCCGUCAUGCCCAUCACUGACCCCUCGUCACCCCACACUGGGGACCCCAUGUUCUCCACUCCCAGUCUCCCUUAUCCAUGCCCCCAUCCCCGUGUCUGCCCACACCCCAUCUGUACCAGUGACCUUGGCCUUGAAGGGGCUGCCCAUGAUGUGGCCCCAGUGGUUCCCAUGUCCCCUUCAGUUCCCAUGUCCCCGCUAAUUCCAUGUUCCUCUCUGUCCCCAUGUCCCUCCCAAUACCCAUGUCCCUUCCCAUCCCCAUGUCCCCCUGUUCAUACCAGUGACCUUGGCCUUGAAGGGGCUCCCCACGAUGUGGUGGGGGCCCCAUACUUGAUGGAGAUGAGGUAGUUGCCAGGAGCCAUCGGGGUGUAGGUGACGCGGUGGCCCUCGGGGACCUCUGUACAGUCCAGCUCCACUUUGGAGGGGCCAUCAAUGGUGACAGCCAGUGCUCCUGCCCCCGCAUUGGCUGUCUGCACCAGGAACUCUGAGGGCACCCCUGGGACAUGGACAUGGGGAUGGCAUCAUGGGGGCAACACCAGGAUGCUGUUGUGGUCGUCACCCAUGGCCACAUCUCCCUUGUGGCUCUGUCCCCAUCACCAUUUCACAGCCGUGUCUCUCCUGCCACCACCACAGCUGUGUCUCUGUCCCCACCCCGCUCCCACAGCCCUGUCCCUGUCUCCACAGCAGUGUCACCUGUGCGGCCACCCUCGAGGCCUGGCCCAAAGGCAGUGACGAGCCCAGGGUCCCCGGCCUGGCUCUGCUCGCCCACGCGGAUGUUGAAGGGGCUCCCGGGCACGUGGCGCCCAUUGAAGCGCAGGUCGAUGGAGUGCACUCCGUUCUCACGCGGCAGGAACCCCAGGGCGUACCGGUCUGGGGGACACAGACAUGUCACCAUGUCCCUGUGUCCCAUGUCCCCACACCCUGUUCCUGCACAGCAGGAACCCCAGUGCAUAUCAGGGGACACAGACAUGUCCCAUACCCCUGUGUCCUCUGUCCCCAUGCUCCGUGUCCCCACAUCCCUGCAUCUCCACAUCCCAUGCAAGAACUCCAGUGUGUAUUAGUCUGGGGGAUGCCAUCACGUCACUUUGUCCCCAUACCCCAUGUCCUCAUGUUCUCAGCCCCAUGUCCCCACAUCACAUGUCCCCAUGUCCUGCACCCUGUGCCCACAACCCCACAUCUGCAGACCCGCUGUCCCACGGUCCCCGCAAUGUCCCCGUGUCCCCUCACCGCUGUCCAGCUCGGACACGUAGCACUCCUCCACCACCCCUGCAGGCGUGUGCACUUUGGCGUCGAUGACACCGCGCGCCCCGUUCAGCUGCACCGCGAAGGACGCUGGCUGGUUCACUGCCACUGUCUCCUGCAGGCUGGUGACAGUGAGGCGUCGGGCGUCAUCGGAGUGGGAGGCGACAGGGACAAUAAAGGGGCUGUCAGGGAUGUGCUCCUCGUUGAACUUGAUGGACACCUCGUAGUCACCUGGGGGACAGGGGACAGUCAGGCAGGGAGCCCCCACACAGGGACACCUUCCUUGGGAACCUUCUUAUGUGGGGACACGCAUGCACAGAGACACUACUCAUGGAGACACCCUCCCUGGGGACACUGUGCAGAGACACCUUCAUUUGGGGACAUCCUCCCAUGGGGACAUCCUUAA
ensembl:lncRNA